rnacentral:rRNA from 1 species
UACGUAGGGAGCAAGCGUUGUCCGGAAUCAUUGGGCGUAAAGCGCGCGUAGGUGGCCUCAUAAGUCCGCUGUGAAAGUCCAAGGCUCAACCUUGGAAAGCCGGUGGAUACUGCGAGGCUAGAGUACGGAAGAGGCGAGUGGAAUUCCUGGUGUAGCGGUGGAAUGCGCAGAUAUCAGGAGGAACACCAAUAGCGAAGGCAGCUCGCUGGGACGUUACUGACACUGAGGCGCGAAAGCGUGGGGAGCGAACAGG